AGAGGAAGGUUUUAUAGUUUGAAAAUCAAGGUCACAUUUGAGCAACGGCCGCCCCCUGAACCUGAACACUGGAUGCUCUCAAUACCUGGAAUGACAGUAGUGGGUCUGAGAACUGAAUUAACCAGGAAAACAAGCUUCCAUGAAAUGUGGAGUCACAACAAACAGCUUUUCAUGUGACUGGCGAUGGCAAAAAAAGAAAAAGAAAAAAAAAAAAGGUGCACACAUUGAUAUAAAAAGAGUAGACUCUGGCAUAAAUGUGGGAGGACUUAUGGAACCCAGAUGAGGCAGAAGCCACCUCAACAUGUCUGCUCUCUGCACCUAAGUUUGUACAAAUGUACAGAGAAAUCCUUCAACGCCUGUCGUUUUUUUUUAGUGUUUAUUGAUAAAAACUGAGUGUCAGCUGGGCUUUCAAGGCUCCAGUUACCUUUAAAGGCGCGCUGAACAGCUCAUUAUGGUAAAUACAGUAUCACACACCUGCAUGGCUCAGAGCCCAGGGAAAAUAAAAAAAGGAGGCUGGGUAACAGACAGUUCCAAGUUACAACUUCAUUCCUCCUGUACGGAACAGUGAUAGUGGUACAUCACUGACUUGCAGCCAAGAGCACGGAGUGACUGGAACUGCAGCACAUGUUGCAGCGCGUUCACCCUCUGAGAUGAUUGCAGAGAUAGAAACCAUGAAAAAAAUUUCGACGUGCCUUCUUUCUGUUUUGACAUGACAGCUCCCGGAGCGAGGAACAGAGUGUGUGUAGGGUUUACUGAGGGGGCAACUCCCAAUGUUAGAACUUUAGAAAAUUCAUCAUUUUGGCUAUUUUUACAGAACUGGUUAAGUUACUAUGAAGCUUACUGGACCAAAUCACGUAUAAAACCUCCUAUUUUUGAAUAUUUUACUGUUUAAAAAUGCAUUAAAAAUGUCGAAAGUGACUUUUCUAAACAGGUUUCUUUAACGUUUAAGUCUGUGUAAGCUCUGCGGUUUAAAAAGUAACGCAUUUUUAUGCACAUAGACUGAGCAUCAAUAGUUUUAUUUAAAACACCUUAAAUUUUACUUUAAAUCUUCCCUGCUUGUCUAAUUUUCCAUACACUUGCAUAGUUUUUCUAAAUUAUAUUUGAUUUAUGUAAACACGAGUCAAAAUGUAACUACUGAGGACAAACAGUUGUGCACCGACUGAAAGGUGAACUGUGGCUACGGCGGUGCUGCUCAUGCUGACGUUUGUCGUCCAACGUAGAUCACUAAUCAAAACAAGCCUUCCUUUCAUCUUGGCAGAGCGGGACGUCCUGUCCGUGAGAACUGGCACGCAGGAAGUGACUCUACUGCCUGCAGGUGAGUGGGCAGCUGUCAUCAUCAUCAUCAUCAUCAGACAGGUAGCUGGGUUAAGGAGUGGCCCGUCUGGCGUCACAGAAUGAAAGUGAAUGAACCCUAAAGGCAUUUCCGCCCAGGCCUCGGCCCACUCACAACAAGGUGUGGGUGGAGGGAGGGGCCACUCUGCAGCUUUCUGGAAAUGACCUAACCACUGCCAGGAAGAGGAAUGUGAAGUAUUCCCUGGAGCAGUCGGUGACGUCAGAGCUCUGAGGAGGCCCCGGCGCUUCCGCCAGCGUGUUCUCGACCCAAACUCCCAACAGCUGGAGUCAACUGCUACCCCGCUCGCUCGCUCGCUCGCACUCCAAAACAGUCCCACCCCUCAUCAUCUCAUGCGAAGGGCUCCAACUUACGUUUGGACCAUCAGUCCUUUCAAGCGCAGCUUUGACAGGAGAAGUAAUUACACUAAACGCAAUGCAAACUUCAGUAAAGCGUAAAUGUAAA